rnacentral:rRNA from 1 species
GACGAACGCUGGCGGCGUGCCUAAUACAUGCAAGUCGAGCGGGCCUCCGGAGGUGCUUGCACCUCCGGACGGCCAGCGGCGGACGGGUGAGUAACACGUGGGCAACCUGCCUUUGAGACCGGGAUAACACCGGGAAACCGGUGCUAAUACCGGAUACGUCCUCUUUCGCGCCUGCGAGAGGGGAGAAAGACGGUCUUUAAGGCCGUCGCUCAAAGAGGGGCCCGCGGCGCAUUAGCUGGUUGGUGGGGCAAGGGCCUACCAAGGCGACGAUGCGUUGCCGACCUGAGAGGGUGAUCGGCCACACUGGGACUGAGACACGGCCCAGACUCCUGCGGGAGGCAGCAGCAGGGAAUCAUCCGCAAUGGGCGAAAGCCUGACGGUGCAACGCCGCGUGAGUGAGGAAGGUUUUCGGAUCGUAAAGCUCUGUUGUGAGGGAAGAACAGCAUCCGGAGGAAAUGCCGGAGGUUUGCCGGUACCUCACCAGAAAGCCCCGGCUAACUACGUGCCAGCCGCCGCGGUAACAC